UGGCUUAACCAUAGAACUGCUUGGGAAACUGGUAAUCUAGAGUGAGGGAGAGGCAGAUGGAAUUGGUGGUGUAGGGGUAAAAUCCGUAGAGAUCACCAGGAAUACCCAUUGCGAAGGCGAUCUGCUGGAACUCAACUGACGCUAAUGCGUGAAAGCGUGGGGAGCAAACAGGAUUAGAUACCCUGGUAGUCCACGCCCUAAACGAUGUAUACUAGUUGUUGCUAAGCUAGUCUUGGCAGUAAUGCACCUAACGGAUUAAGUAUACCGCCUGGGGAGUACGGUCGCAAGAUUAAAACUCAAAGGAAUAGACGGGGACCCGCACAAGCGGUGGAGCAUGUGGUUUAAUUCGAAGAUACGCGAAGAACCUUACCCGGACUUGAUAUCUAACAAAUCAUCUAGAGAUAGAAGAGUGUCUGCUUGCAGAAAUGUUAAGACAGGUGCUGCACGGCUGUCGUCAGCUCGUGUCGUGAGAUGUUGGGUUAAGUCCCGCAACGAGCGCAACCCACGUCAUUAGU
rnacentral:rRNA from 1 species